rnacentral:rRNA from 1 species
UGCCAGCCGCCGCGGUAACACGGGGGGCGCAAGCGUUAUUCGGAAUUAUUGGGCGUAAAGGGCGCGCAGGCGGUCUUGUCAGUCAGGUGUGAAAGCCCGGGGCUCAACCCCGGAUGGUCACUUGAAACAGCAAGACUUGAGUACGGGAGAGGAGAGAGGAAUUCCUGGUGUAGAGGUGAAAUACGUAGAUAUCUGGAAGAACACCAGAGGCGAAGGCGGUCUCUUGGUCCGAAACUGACGCUGAGGCGCGAAAGCGCGGGGAGCAAACAGGAUUAGAUA